UACGUAGGGUGCGAGCGUUUGUCCGGAAUUACUGGGCGUAAAGAGCUCGUAGGUGGUUUGUCGCGUUGUUCGUGAAAACCGGGGGCUUAACUCUCGGCGUGCGGGCGAUACGGGCAGACUGGAGUACUGCAGGGGAGACUGGAAUUCCUGGUGUAGCGGUGGAAUGCGCAGAUAUCAGGAGGAACACCGGUGGCGAAGGCGGGUCUCUGGGCAGUAACUGACGCUGAGGAGCGAAGGCGUGGGGAGCGAACAGG
rnacentral:rRNA from 1 species